ensembl:lncRNA
UAUAAAUAUAAAUUACAGACGAUGGAGAUGGAAAACAUGUCCUAAGACGGGGAAUGAGAGGAGAUGAGGAGAGGAAUCCACUUUAGACUAUUGAGAUGCACCCUUAACCAUGUGACCCAAUUAUCAGAUGAAUUACCUGCACAUUAACUCCAGAAAGCUUGCAAUUGGUCAAGCAUUGCACCACUCCUAUAUACAAGUGCCAGCGAGAGAAGGUGCCACUCAUCAACUGCUGUUUUGUCCAGGAUAGUGCAAGCACAUGGUUUAUGUUAGCGUGGGUUAGUUAGCAGGUGUAGUUGACUAGCUGUUCCUGGCUAGGGUUAGACACUUCUACUGCUCAAUGGCUUUUGUGUUUUGGUUCGGAGUAUUUGUACUCCUGUGUAUAUGGCCUAGUGUAAGAUGUUCUGACCUUCCAAGAGGGGCCAUUGAGACUGCAUGUCGGGAUCGAUACCUGUUGGUAACAACACAACUCUCAUUCGCUGGGAACGAACCUCGCUUUGAAGCGGUUGAUGCUGAUGGUGUUCACCCCAUCACUAAGCAGUAUGGGUCAGAGUGUGGCUACAUGUUCAGUAUCCUCCGUCUGUCUGGCCAUGCUGAGCUCAGAGCUUCCUACUUCUCCUGCCACACUGACAACCAGGAUGAUGAGGUGUUCACUUUUAGCUUUAACUUGAUCACAAUUGAUGCGAAGGGAGUGGAAACCACCUACACUGUGAAUGCAAACUGCUCUCUCCCUCUACCCUGGUCCCCCAGAGAAGUCAGCUGUGAAGAGAACUAUAUGGAGGUGUCAGUGAGGGGUGAUGUGUCUGGUCUACCUGGUACUGAAGCAGAUAACUGGACUGCUGCCCUUGCUACAGCCCACAGCUCUGCCACGUCUACCUGGCAGGUGACGUUCCAGCAGGAGGGGCAGCAGCUGACUCCCAUGUCCCUCUCAGAGGCUCGGGAGCUGGGCUAUGUAUUCUACCUCACCCAGGGGAGGCUGGUGUUCCGUUCACCCUACACGCCAGGUUCUGUCAUGGGAUCUGUCACCAUGGUGAAUGGUAUGUUGGUUGAGAUGGUCUAUCCAAUACUGGUCUCCAGGCAGAGAUGGGUGGUCAUCAUGGUGGACUUGGUGGUUGCUUGCAGCACUGAUGAAGGAAUGUAUGAUGGGGCUGGGCUGGUCUGGCAGACCCCCACUCUGCUGUCCCCGCUGGUCUCUGGCCUCUUUGGGUUGGAGAGCAGCAAUAUCUCAAUGGGGGUGGAUGGGCAGCUCCUGGAUGAGCCCAUCACAGCAGAGCGAGGCUACAGCCUGGACAUCAGUGACACCACCGUCCAGAUCAGCAUCCCCUUCAACGCUGCCGGAGGAUACAGAAAAAGCUUUGUGAUGAACAACAUGUACCAUGAGUUCUAUGUGGUCCGUCUCUACUAUGAACAAACCUUCAUGGAUGACGGUGUGGAGACCAGACUCCGCCUCCACAGGCCCAUGAACACAUCACUUCUGAUCCAGCACCUCUCCAUCAUUAACCAAACAGUCCUUGAGGAUCGUGUGUUUACUGUGUACCUGGGGAACCUCUCCUACGAUGUUGACCUGGUGGCUGUGAAGCUCAAUGGCCACAACUUCACCAUACUAGAGGCGAAUAAAAGUGGCCUCGUCAUAACCAUGGUCCCCCAGCCCAAUAGUACCCUACAUGCCUACAUUCUCAGGGUGCCAUUUGAUGCCGUUAUUCACAAGCUGUACCCUACAGAGGGGCUUCUCGAGUACUCGUUAGACAUCAACUACACUUUGGUCAUCCUGCCUCAGGAGGAGCCCUACUUCUACCUGGCCUCAGUCGUGGCUCAGUUCAAUGAUGUCUUUCCUCCGGUCUUCAAAGGUGUCUGCAACGAGAAAAGCAUCAGUUUCCAGAUGGACCAUAAGCCAUUUGACUACCUGUGGGAGGUGGGUGUUGGCCCUUACCGUCUGACCCCAAAUCUGGCAGCCAAGCGAGGCUAUGUCAUGCGCAAUGACAGCAAGCGUCUGACCCUGGAAGUGCCCCUCUUCUCUGUUGGCUUCACUUAUAAGGACAUCAAUUUGAGGCAGUUCCGUGGCACAUUUGAAAUUCUCUCAAGACUUCCCAAGACCUUGGCGGUCAAGAGUUCCUUGGCCAAAGCUUGUCUCUUCCAGACUACUGAGGUCAUAGUGUGUUCCACUGAAGGGGUGGUGACAGUGGUCACUGAUGUGACUCUGGCCAUCCCUGGAGCUGAACCCAACAGAACCUUCCUCCUGGACUCCACCUGCAGGCCUCAAGAGACGGAUGACACCAAGGUUCUCUUUAGCUUUGGACUCCACACCUGUGGUACCAGGGUCCAGGUUGACCAUCAGCAUGUUACCUACGAAAAUGAGAUCAAUGUUCAGCGCACGAUCCAAUCUGUGACAAAACCAUUCAAAACCAGGGACACUGCCUCUGUGGUGACAGUGCGGUGUGUCUAUCCACUGAGUGACCUAUACAAGCUGUUUGCAUAUUGGCAGUUUGAGGCAGACUCUCCAGGAGUUGGCACCAUCUUGACUAGAGUUCCUGUAAAAACAUUUCAGCCCACCUUUCCACCCACUACCUUAACCACCACCAGAAGACCAUUGAUGUCCACAACUACUUCUAACACAGGCCUGAGUCCUGGGAGGGGAAUACCUGGCAUCCACCCUAGGGCUAAAUAUGUCAAAGUCUUCAGCUGGCAAAUGAACCAACCUAAAGGAACCACUUAGGCCCAGACCCCAGUCACCUUCCAUACAAUGGAACUAAUGAAACCACUGACUGGAUUGCGGUGUUGAACAUAAGUCUGGUUCUUAAUAAAUACCUUCUCACAAU